UCAUACCCUGCACUACAGUUUGGUGAAGUGAAAGUGCGUAGUCACAAAAUGUGUUCGUGAUGAAGCCAAACCACUGUCAGUGGUGGAUAAAGUCUUACCGAUUGAAAAGUUUCAUUGCCCUGUUUCGUUCAACACGACACUCAAAGAAAUACCUGAUGACUUCAAGCGAGUCUCCGUCACCCUGGAUGUGGAAACAGCGCAUCCGCAGCUCGAGGUGUCUGAG